rnacentral:rRNA from 1 species
UGGGGAAUAUUGGACAAUGGGGGCAACCCUGAUCCAGCAAUGCCGCGUGUGUGAAGAAGGUCUUCGGAUUGUAAAGCACUUUCGACGGGGACGAUGAUGACGGUACCCGUAGAAGAAGCCCCGGCUAACUUCGUGCCAGCAGCCGCGGUAAUACGAAGGGGGCUAGCGUUGCUCGGAAUGACUGGGCGUAAAGGGCGUGUAGGCGGUUUACACAGUCAGAUGUGAAAUCCCCGGGCUUAACCUGGGAGCUGCAUUUGAUACGUGUAGACUAGAGUGUGAGAGAGGGUUGUGGAAUUCCCAGUGUAGAGGUGAAAUUNCGUAGAUAUUGGGAAGAACACCGGUGGCGAAGGCGGCAACCUGGCUCAUGACUGACGCUGAGGCGCGAAAGCGUGGGGAGCAAACAGGAUUAGAUACCCUGGUAGUCCACGCUGUAAACGAUGUGUGCUAGAUGUUGGGUAACUUUGUUAUUCAGUGUCGCAGUUAACGCGUUUAAANC